rnacentral:lncRNA from 1 species
UUAAAGCUAAGAGGAGUUUAUUCACGUGCGUGGACCCCACCCUCUAGGAGAAGUGAAGCCCAGAAGCAGGGCACAGCACGGCUUUCAUAGGUAACUCAAAGAAGUUCAGGGAGAGGCCACUAUGUCCUUCAGCCAGCUGCAAAAUAUCUUUCACAACCCAGCUCUUUUUCAACCCAGCUAUCUUGUGAAGACAGGAUAUUCUGUGGCUGCAGGGUUCGGCGGUUACAGGGAGGCACCAGACACCAUCUGUUCCCGGGGAGCGAUAGGGCGCGUUUACAGGAGCACAGCGAGCGAGCAGCUGUCCAGUGGGGAGUUCCAGCACUCUCUGCUCACCUCAAAGCCUGCCAUCAGACGCUGGGCCAGGGAAGGCAUCGUGUCCAGAGGAGGAAGGCCAGGCCGAAGCAAGGAGGCCGCCAACACUCUCUCUGGUUGGCAGGCCAGUUGGAGAACUGGUCACCUACAGCCUCUGCCGCACUCAGCCGGAGAGGGACACUUCCUGGGAGCAGCCGUGUCCACGCAGCCAGGGCUUCAGCCAAGUGCUCAGCACCCAGGAGCCCCGAGGGGAGGCAGAGCCCUGGACAAACCUCCUCCUGAGUUGAGAGCAUCAUUCCCUUUGGGGAGCCUUCCUUGGACCUCAUCCAUUGACAGUAACUGGCAAGGUGGGAGAGUUGUGUUACUGGGAUUUACUAGGUAGAAGCCAGGUAUGCUCAACUUCCUACAAUUAUGAUAUUUGUAAUACGUAAAAAUACAGGUCCUGAUAGGAUCAUAAGAUGAGAUAAUGGAUUUCCUAAUUACCAGAAAUUCAAUUUUACCUGUAUUUUACCUCAGGCAAAAAUGUUCAGUUUGGAGGUUGAGAGACCCUGCCAAACAGUAGUGGUCUUUAAGCCCUAAUUUACAUCACAGCCAUCUCCAGGGCUUGUAAGGCACAGAUUUUGACCUGUCCGUAGAUUUUUUAAUUUUUCCUCCUUUUCCUUCUUCUUUUUUUUGCUCCUGUUGCUGGGGCUUGAGCCCGGGGACUCACCACGUUGGCAAAGCACUUUACCACUGAGUCACAUCCCUGCACACCCUAGCCCUGUUUCAGAUUUCGGAGUUCUGGGGUGAUUCCCAGGAUUUGCAUUUCCCCUUGAUUGCAGCUGCUAGUUUCGGGGCACACGUGAGAAGCACGCCCCUGAACUUCUAGCAGGGGCUGUCGCUACCACCGGCUGGGGCACUUCCGAGUCAGGGCCACCAGCCUCGGAGUACUUCCGGGUCCCUCUAGGCGCCCGGAGGUCCCGGCGUCUCCACGGCGGCCCCGGCCGGGGUGUGGCCAGGCGGGGGCGUG